rnacentral:lncRNA from 1 species
CUGAAGUUCACGUAAAUGAAAUCAUACAGCAUGUUCUCUUUGUGUCUGGCUUCUUUGGCUCAACAUUGUUUCUGUGAGAUUCAUCAAUGUAGUUACAUGAAGCAGUUGCUCAUUAUUUUUAUUGCUGUAUACUAUUUCAGUUUAAGAAAAUACCAAAACAGAAGCAUUUCUGGAAUGAUAGAAACUCUGGAAAUAAGCCAAAGACUUGAAGCAAUCUUUAAUAUCAUUUAUUCAAGAAAAACAACUGAAUUUUGGUGGUUUCAACAUCUUUGCAAAGGACUCAUCCAGCUCCCUGGAUACUUUGACAUCCAAUUUUUGGAUCUCCUCAUUGCCAGUGACCAUUUGUUCUAUCGCUCCAAUUGGAAAUUAGAGCUCUCGGCUGGGAAUACCACCACCCUCCAUUGUCCAGUUCUACAAACUCACCUAUUUCUACUUGCCCUUUCUUCUUCCCUCCUGCCUCAAAACAACAAAGAGAGAGAGAAGAAAGGAAAGGAACAGAAAGGAAAGAAGCUCCUCCUUUCUCACCUUGCCGAAAGACAAAACGCUUAAGCAGAAGCCGCACGGGUGGGAUGCACCGGAGGACCGGGGGCACAGACCCAGCUCGCGCGCACCGAGCUCGCUCGGGCAGCUCGGCAGGCGUGGCGGACCGGUUCCCACCCCCGGCUCCCCGGCGCCCGGCAUCUCCGAGCGGACGAGGCGUCCCCCCAGAGGAAAGACGGGAAGCCGCAGACGCCCCCCGGAGGAGUCAUCAGCCCCCCGCCCCGCCUCGGGGUCCCGUUCCUCUUGGGCUCCCCCUGACCACUCGGGCGUGCGCUGCAGAGAGGCCAGCCGAGCACCAUUAGGACACCAGGCACUCGGGCCCCCAGCAGCAUCCACUGGCCCACCCACUCGAGACCCACAGCCCAGCAGGCCGACCAGGCCGGACGCCGAGGCCUCGCGGUAUCGAGCCUCCGUGCGCCCCGCCUCCUCGCCCUCCAGCUGGCCCCGCCCUCGCUCUCUCACCCCUCCCCCGCUCCCGCCUCGCUUCCCCGACAAUCUCCU